rnacentral:rRNA from 1 species
CAGUAGCCACGGGAAUACGAAGGGGGCUAGCGUUGUUCGGAAUUACUGGGCGUAAAGCGCACGUAGGCGGAUAUUUAAGUCAGGGGUGAAAUCCCGCAGCUCAACUGCGGAACUGCCUUUGAUACUGGGUAUCUUGAGUAUGGAAGAGGUUAGUGGAAUUGCGAGUGUAGAGGUGAAAUUCGUAGAUAUUCGCAGGAACACCAGUGGCGAAGGCGGCUAACUGGUCCAUAACUGACGCUGAGGUGCGAAAGCGUGGGGAGCAAACAGGAUUAGAGACCCCAGUAGUCCCUGUCUCUUAUAC